CAGCCUCCUGGAACCAGAAACCAAAUAAUCUUAGUAUAUUAAUGUUGUUUUUUUUCAUAGGCUGACAGAUUGUUUGAUCAUGAACUGAAUUGUGAAUGUUGUACCUCGUUGGAACCGCCAGAAUCUCCUUUCGAGCUGCGCUCCUUUUGGGAUUGAGACCUCUGCCGAGACGCCUUCUGCCUGCAGGAAACAUCUAUUACUGGCAACUCUGAAAGAUCACACGCUAAGGGGCUUGUGUGAAAAAACUGCAAUCAUAAUGCUACUUUACUGGAUGGUUCAAAAGUAGGAAAGGUGCCACGAUGUGCUGGAUCGAGGGCGAGGAGAACAAAGAGAAGGCCUAAAGAAGAAGCGGGGAAGUGCCUGAAAGCAUCUGUCAUGUUAGACUUGUAGGCAUAUGGUGGCCUGAAGGUUGUCAAAAUCCUUGUUUUUGCCCAGUAAUCGUUUGAAGGCGUGCCACAUAGCUUGAAAAUCUUGUGGAGUUGCUCAACCUGCAGAUUCGAUUCUUGCAGCGAAGAAUUAGAAUUGGCACUGAAUGCAAAAGACCAAACAUGUCGGACAAACAUUCUAAGUUAUUACCUCUGUCCUGCCGGGCAUAAUAGGCCUCCCGGCAAACAUUUCAGCCAUUAGGCAGCCUGCACUCCAGAGAUCAAUGCCCGCUCCAUAUUCAGUAGCGCCAAGCAGCAGUUCGGGGGCUCUAUACCACAGUGUCACAACUCGGUUAGUAAGAGGGCGUGGUUUUGCAGGGUUAAAGAAGUUUGCUAGCCCGAAAUCUGCAAUUUUUAGCAUCCCGUCUUUAUCAAUCAGUAGAUUGGAUCCCUUGAUGUCUCGAUGCAGAAUGCCCCUCUCGUGGCAAUGCUGCAGCCCGCAUAGCAGCUGAAACAUGUAACAUUUCACCUGAAUGGCUCCAUGCACGAAACGAUAGCUUUCAGAAUCCUAAAUCUCAAGAUAAAAUGAAAAUCACCAAUUGAUAUC